CCUCGAGCAACCCAAGACCCCUACAGUAACCCUCAGGUCACCACAAGACCCCCGGGAAACUGGCCUCUGCCCCCAGCUGUGACGCACUACGAGUUCCCCAACCCUGCUAACUACAUGCAGGCCCGUGACGGCAGCGAUGCAGCGAACAAAGGCAGCCCUACUCAAAUGCCAUCCAUGCUUGGUGCCGCCCAGUGGACAACGAAAGAAAUGACUUUGCUGUGAGUCCGGCUGCUUUUGUAUUUUCAAUUUCAGCCCCCCCGCAGCCUUGGGCGUUCACUGUAUUUGUAAAUUUUAUUUUUGGCAACAAACUGUCAUAUUUUUAGGCAGUGAUGUCAUGGGUUGCCA